rnacentral:rRNA from 1 species
GACGAACGCUGGCGGCGUGCCUAGUACAUGCAAGUUGAGCGAUGAAGAUUGGUGCUUGCCCCAAUUUGAAGAGCAGCGAACGGGUGAGUAACGCGUGGGGAAUCUGCCUUUGAGCGGGGGACAACAUUUGGAAACGAAUGCUAAUACCGCAUAACAACUUUAAACAUAAGUUUUAAGUUUGAAAGAUGCAAUUGCAUCACUCAAAGAUGAUCCCGCGUUGUAUUAGCUAGUUGGUGAGGUAAAGGCUCACCAAGGCGAUGAUACAUAGCCGACCUGAGAGGGUGAUCGGCCACAUUGGGACUGAGACACGGCCCAAACUCCUACGGGAGGCAGCAGUAGGGAAUCUUCGGCAAUGGACGAAAGUCUGACCGAGCAACGCCGCGUGAGUGAAGAAGGUUUUCGGAUCGUAAAACUCUGUUGGUAGAGAAGAACGUUGGUGAGAGUGGAAAGCUCAUCAAGUGACGGUAACUACCCAGAAAGGGACGGCUAACUACGUG